UGGACCAAACUCGUUGUUUUAAUAAAGCUAAACUGUUUAUUAAAAACAACCACUUUUCGAGGUGAUCCAAUCACACCUCAUAAAAGAAGGAUUGGUGGCGACUCCCGUUUUAUUUUUCAGACCAUUUUCCAUCCAAAAAAUGUGUCAACAAUCAUCUUUCUUUACUAAUUCCCAAAUAAUCUGAUUAGACUAUGUGUUGACCUCAUAUAUACACACUGACAUGUUUUGUAUAAUUAAAUGAUUUUUUUAAACAUUUAAAAGGGAAAAAAGACAUAAUAUUUGUAAUCACUUAAUUUUGUCCGGGACGAAUUUACGUUUUUUUAAAAAUUGCGUUUUAGCCCCUGAAUUUUUCAAAAAUUACAUUUUGACCCCUAGUUUUUUCUAAAUUUACAUUUUGACCCCUAAUAUUUUAUAAAUUACAUUCAGGGCCCUAAAUUUUCAAGAAAUUACAUUUUGGCCCAAUUUUUGCUAAAAUUGCACUUUCGCCCCAGAAACUUUGUAUCUUAUGCAAUCUUGUCCUUCUGGACUUGUCUAAUCGCAGCAGCAACAACCGAGCCUACCCCUCCCAGCCGAGCUACUCCAGCAGCCUCCCUAGGCCAUGAUGGCUCUUCUGCCACCUGAAAACAAAGAAGAAAGAGACAAAAUUGAAAGGAUUUAAAAAGAGGGAGAUGAAAGGAAGAGAGGGGGAUUGGGGCAACAAAGAAAACACAAAAAAAAAUUGAAAAAAAAAGCAGCAAAGCACAAGGAAAAUAGCAGCUCCACCGCGCGCCACCGUCCCCACCACCACGACAGCACCGUCACCACCACCACUACAGCACUGUCACCACCGUCCCCGCACCUACAACACAAUCAAACAAGGCUACAAGCAAAGAGAAAAUGAAAAAGCAAUAAGCAAUAAGUAAGAAAAAGAAAAAAACAGCAACCCAAAGGAAAAAGGAAGAAAAGAGAAGAGAAAAGAAAGGGAGACAGAGAGGAGAAGGAAGCCGGCCGUUACACCGCCGAACGGAGCAAAGAGCCACCAAUGGUGGCGGCUAGAGUUUGAAAGGAAGGAAAAGAAAGUUAAGAGAAGAAGAAGAAAGGAAAAAGAAAAAGAGAGAAAAAAAAAAAGGAAAUAAAAAAAGGUAAAAAAAAUAAAAACAGCAGGCCAGCCCACUAGCCGGCAGGCCCAAGUCCAGCGCCCAACAGACCGGAGCCAGCGGGCCAGCAGAUCUGACCCAGUCCCUGUCGGCCCACUAAGGCCCAAUUUGCA
rnacentral:lncRNA from 1 species